rnacentral:lncRNA from 1 species
UUUGCAUUAUCCCAACCAUGAGUUCUCAUGUGACAUGAGUAUGAGAACUCCUCGUUGAUCGUGUUCAAUUGACUCAUUCGUUAUUGAGCACCUACAUGCUUGUCUUGGUGUCAAUCACACCAAUGACUCGAGACUAGUCACUCUCACUAAGAGAAGACAUAGCAUGUACUGAUCUUAACGGACUGUCAAUGCCCAAUUGGCAAUCAUAUGAUCAGGAACAUUUAGGAUAUGUAUACGAAAGAGAAUGGUCUCAGUAAUCUAACUUGUUUAAAUCACAUUCUCCUAAUUACAUAUUCCUUGGACUUAUCGUUUAAGCAUAUAACAUUUAUAUGAGACGGCUUAAACAAUAAUCUUUGCCCUUGAUAUUAAACUAGAUUAGUUUAACAUGUGAAAUGUCCGUCAAGUAUCAUCAUAUGAUAGGUUUUAGGGCACAUUUCCAACAUGAACAUUUCACCUGGAAGGUUGCUCAUGUUGACUAUCAGAGUGUAACCCCAACCGUGAAUGUAUGCUCGUCUAUGGGCCUAGUCAAGA